rnacentral:rRNA from 1 species
AGAACGAACGCUGGCGGCAUGCCUAAUACAUGCAAGUCGAACGAACUCUUCGGAGUUAGUGGCGCACGGGUGCGUAACGCGUGGGAAUCUGCCCCUUGGUUCGGAAUAACAGUUGGAAACGACUGCUAAUACCGGAUGAUAUCGAAAGAUCAAAGAUUUAUCGCCCAGGGAUGAGCCCGCGUAGGAUUAGCUAGUUGGUGAGGUAAAGGCUCACCAAGGCGACGAUCCUUAGCUGGUCUGAGAGGAUGAUCAGCCACACUGGGACUGAGACACGGCCCAGACUCCUACGGGAGGCAGCAGUAGGGAAUAUGGACAAUGGGCGCAAGCCUGAUCCAGCAAUGCCGCGUGAGUGAUGAAGGCCUUAGGGUGUAAAGCUCUUUACCCGAGAUGAUAAUGACAGUAUCGGAAGAACAAGCCCCCGGACUAAACCGUCCGUCGCCAGACAGCCCGAC